rnacentral:rRNA from 1 species
GACGAACGCUGGCGGCGUGCUUAACACAUGCAAGUCGAACGGAAAGGCCCUGCUUUUGUGGGGUGCUCGAGUGGCGAACGGGUGAGUAACACGUGAGUAACCUGCCCUUGACUUUGGGAUAACUUCAGGAAACUGGGGCUAAUACCGGAUAGGAGCUCCUGCUGCAUGGUGGGGGUUGGAAAGUUUCGGCGGUUGGGGAUGGACUCGCGGCUUAUCAGCUUGUUGGUGGGGUAGUGGCUUACCAAGGCUUUGACGGGUAGCCGGCCUGGGAGGGUGACCGGCCACAUUGGGACUGGGAUACGGCCCAGACUCCUACGGGAGGCAGCAGUGGGGAAUAUUGCACAAUGGGCGGAAGCCUGAUGCAGCAACGCCGCGUGGGGGAUGACGGCCUUCGGGUUGUAAACCGCUUUCGCCUGUGACGAAGCGUGAAUGACGGUAAUGGGUAAAGAAGCACCGGCUAACUACGUG